CUGCCCAGCACUAGGAAGCACUGAGGGAAAAAAAAAGUAAAAUAAAACAACAGUACUUUGGACUUUGAAUCACAUGACUCACAGUCUGCAUCACUUACCAUCCAGAGUUCCCUGCCUCACUGAAUGGAACUUACUUAAAUUUCCAGAAGUUGCAUCAGAAAAGGUGAUUGGAAGUCCUUUUUCAAGGCGGUUUGAUUGACCCCUGUGAGGACAGUCCUGGAACGCUUGGGUUUGAGUCACUGGCAAACUCUAAAAGAAAUUAACACGUGGAAAACAUAAAGAAAAAAAGAAAUGCUCACUCUGCAUGGAACUGAAUCUAAUGUGAGCGUACUUUACAUAAUCACAUCACACAGCCAGCUGAACUGUAAGCUCAGUGCUGCAUCAUUGAGAAAUCGGAUAAAGAGAGAAUACGCUGGAGCAACACAUUUUAUGCCACAUUUUUCUAGCAUAACACCCAUACAUAUUGAAAGAGCAGAGCUACAAUGCUUUGUUUCAGCAGGUCAGUAGCCUUACUCUGUACUUACAAAUAGAUGGAGAGCUGUGGGGGAAAUGCAAACAUGAAUGGCAUCACUGCGGAUGUCUGAUAUUAUGCCAAACUGGCAUCUUGUCACCCAGCAGUAGAUCAAACAGUGUGUCUGCCAAAAGCUCGGUGUGUUUCUUUAAGCAGCAAAGAGGAAGUGGGGGUGAAAAAAUGAGUUUGAUGGAAUAGGGCCAGCGGUCAGUACGUGACCUUGUUCUGGUCCAAACAGAUAGCUCUGUCAUCGGCUGCUCUGUGUGUGUGUUUGUGUGUGUGUGUGUGUGUGUUUGCUCACGUGUUUGUGUGUGUAUAUAGAAGGAGCAUUAUCCAGUGUCCUCACACCACCUCUGUCACACCAGCAUGUGCUGUCUUUUUUCCCCUCCCGGUCUUAGUAGCAUAAUGCAAAAUGUGAAGAGUCAAAUUGUUUUGCAAAAAGGAAAAAAAGUGAAACUUAAUAUAUUUUUCACAACAUCACAAAACAGUUUCAUUGUUUUUAUGACACUGUCCCCGGCCAAUUACCUUUUAUCUAAUAGAAAAAUGGGAAAGUAUAUUUUUCACUGUUACUCAAUUUGAUUCUGUUUAAACACGUUAUUUAAUUCUAUGUAUUUCAAAUGGGAAAAACUGUUAUGUCUUAUUGCUUUGAAAUGAAAUGCUGUUGAAAGGUGCUGCAUCUUUUUAAUUCCUUUUUUUUUGUAUUGAAAACAAAAUUAUAUUUAUCCACAUUAACAGGAUAACAACCAACCAUAUCAUCAUGUAUCAUCGUCUCCUUUGUGGCGUAGAUGAUUCAAUUUUUUUUUCCAAAUCUUCCAAAAAUAAUGAAUCACUGUAAAAAUACACAGUUUGUCAUGAGUUACUUUUUUAUUUUCUUUGUAAUAUCCUGUCUUUCAUUUCAUAGUUAUCCUUGUGUCUUCCCAGUGUUGUGUUUCAGAGAUUCAUGUCCUGUGUUUUAUUUGUUACCUUUUUGUGUUCUUAUGUGUUUAGAAUUUUGUCUUGUUACUGCCUGUGAUUUCCUGCGGUCUUGAGUUGGUUUUCAGUGUUUUAUUUUGUAGAAUAUUCUUGCGUGUUAAGUUUAGUUUUCCUUCCUGUGUUUUCCCACCUUUGUGAUUGUCUUCACCUGUGCCUUGUUGUCCUCCCCUGCGUGGCCUUACUCGUUACCCAGUGUGUGUGUGUAUAGUCUCCUCCCUUCUGGGUUGGUUAAUUGUGUUUGUGACGUGUGAUGUGUAUUAUGUGAUUCCUGUGUUCCUGUGCUUUUUGUUCCCUGGAUUUAGUUUGAGUAUGUCUUGUUUUAUUUCUUUGGUUUUGUUCAUUAAAUAAGUUUUAUUUUGAAUCUG